AGCAUGGUGUAGUGGUUUGAACAUUAGACUGCAACUCUGGAGAUCAGGGUUCGAUUCCCUCUCAGCCA